rfam:Triticum urartu cultivar G1812 contig1175005, whole genome shotgun sequence.
ACGACCUUACUUGAACAGGAUCUAUUCUAUAGGCUCAUACCGCUGCAUCCUUUACCAAUAAGGAGGCAAGCACUUCAGUCUGGUUGAUGCAUUCUGACCUCUGGGCCAGAGCCUAAUUAACAGCCAGGAUCACCUAAUGGGUGCAGGGUGGCUUGGAGGUUGUCUGACAGACU